rnacentral:miRNA from 1 species
UUGCCUGUCAGGGAGAGCCCCA